GGAUGAGAGAAGAACCCCGCUCGCAGGAGACUGCGGACGGCACCAGGCAGGGGCCUCCCCAGCCCCGUCCUGGGCGUGCCUCAGCGCACACCGCCGGCGCUUCCCGCUCCGGCACUCCUCACCGAUCGGA
rnacentral:ncRNA from 1 species